rnacentral:sRNA from 1 species
AUCGAUCGGGGCGGCGCACUCCUCCUCCCAGCGCACCCCGAUACGGAUUGGCGACACUCCUCCUCCCGGUUGCCAAUCAGAACAAAGCAACGCCCGCUGGACCUCCUCCCCCAGCGGGCGUUGCUU